GGGCCGCGGGAAUUCGAUUCAGGCCUAACACAUGCAAGUCGAACGAUGAAGCCGGAGCUUGCUCCGGUGGAUUAGUGGCGAACGGGUGAGUAACACGUGAGCAAUCUGCCCUUGACUCUGGGAUAACUGCGGGAAACUGUAGCUAAUACCGGAUACGACACCUUGGGGCAUCCCAGGGUGUGGAAAGAAUUUCGGUCAAGGAUGAGCUCGCGGCCUAUCAGCUAGUUGGUGAGGUAAUGGCUCACCAAGGCGACGACGGGUAGCCGGCCUGAGAGGGUGACCGGCCACACUGGAACUGAGACACGGUCCAGACUCCUACGGGAGGCAGCAGUGGGGAAUAUUGCACAAUAGGGGAAAGCCUGAUGCAGCAA
rnacentral:rRNA from 1 species